rnacentral:snRNA from 1 species
CACACGGAAUCGAGAGCUCCAA